UACGGAGGGUGCAAGCGUUGUCCGGAUUUAUUGGGUUUAAAGGGUGCGUAGGCGGCCCGUUAAGUCAGUGGUGAAAGCCUCCAGCUCAACUGGAGAACUGCCAUUGAUACUGACGGGCUUGAGUACAGACGAGGUUGGCGGAAUUGAUUGUGUAGCGGUGAAAUGCAUAGAUACAAUCAAGAACUCCGAUUGCGUAGGCAGCUAACUAGGCUGUAACCGACGCUGAGGCACGAAAGCGUGGGGAGCGAACAGG
rnacentral:rRNA from 1 species